rnacentral:rRNA from 1 species
UACGGAGGGGGCUAGCGUUGUUCGGAAUUACUGGGCGUAAAGCGUGCGUAGACGGCUAUCUAAGUCGGGUGUGAAAGCCCCGGGCUCAACCUGGGAAUUGCAUUCGAGACUGAAUAGCUAGGGUACGGUAGAGGGAAGUGGAAUUUCCGGUGUAGCGGUGAAAUGCGUAGAUAUCGGAAGGAACAUCAGUGGCGAAAGCGACUUCCUGGACCAGUACCGACGUUCAGGCACGAAAGCGUGGGGAGCAAACAGG